rnacentral:rRNA from 1 species
GACGAACGCUGGCGGCGUGCCUAAUACAUGCAAGUCGAACGCACUGACGUCGACCGAAGCUGCUUGCAGUGGACGUUGAUUGACGUGAGUGGCGGACGGGUGAGUAACACGUGGGUAACCUACCCUUAAGUGGGGGAUAACAUUUGGAAACAGAUGCUAAUACCGCAUAACCAUUCAGACCACAUGGUCUGAAUGUAAAAGACGGCCUUUGGCUGUCACUUUUGGACGGACCCGCGGCGUAUUAGUUAGUUGGUAAGGUAACGGCUUACCAAGACAAUGAUACGUAGCCGACCUGAGAGGGUAAUCGGCCACAUUGGGACUGAGACACGGCCCAAACUCCUACGGGAGGCAGCAGUAGGGAAUCUUCCACAAUGGACGAAAGUCUGAUGGAGCAACGCCGCGUGAGUGAAGAAGGUUUUAGGAUCGUAAAACUCUGUUGUUGGAGAAGAACAGGGACUAGAGUAACUGUUAGUCCUUUGACGGUAUCCAACCAGAAAGCCACGGCUAACUACGUGCCAGCAGCCGCGGUAAUACGUAGGUGGCAAGCGUUGUCCGGAUUUAUUGGGCGUAAAGCGAGCGCAGGCGGUUUUUUAAGUCUGAUGUGAAAGCCUUCGGCUUAACCGAAGAAGUGCAUUAGAACUGGGAAACUUGAGUGCAGAAGAGGACAGUGGAACUCCAUGUGUAGCGGUGAAAUGCGUAGAUAUAUGGAAGAACACCAGUGGCGAAGGCGGCUGUCUGGUCUGUAACUGACGCUGAGGCUCGAAAGUAUGGGGAGCGAACAGGAUUAGAUACCCUGGUAGUCCAUACCGUAAACGAUGAAUGCUAAGUGUUGGAGGGUUUCCGCCCUUCAGUGCUGCAGCUAACGCAUUAAGCAUUCCGCCUGGGGAGUACGACCGCAAGGUUGAAACUCAAAGGAAUUGACGGGGGCCCGCACAAGCGGUGGAGCAUGUGGUUUAAUUCGAAGCAACGCGAAGAACCUUACCAGGUCUUGACAUCCUUUGACCACUGUAGAGAUACAGCUUUCCCUUCGGGGACAAAGUGACAGGUGGUGCAUGGUUGUCGUCAGCUCGUGUCGUGAGAUGUUGGGUUAAGUCCCGCAACGAGCGCAACCCUUAUGACUAGUUGCCAGCAUUUAGUUGGGCACUCUAGUAAGACUGCCGGUGACAAACCGGAGGAAGGUGGGGAUGACGUCAAAUCAGCAUGCCCCUUAUGACCUGGGCUACACACGUGCUACAAUGGUCGGUACAACGAGUUGCGAACCCGCGAGGGUAAGCUAAUCUCUUAAAGCCGAUCUCAGUUCGGAUUGUAGGCUGCAACUCGCCUACAUGAAGCCGGAAUCGCUAGUAAUCGCGGAUCAGCACGCCGCGGUGAAUACGUUCCCGGGCCUUGUACACACCGCCCGUCACACCAUGAGAGUUUGUAACACCCGAAGUCGGUGGGGUAACCCUUUUAGGGAACUAGCCGCCUAAGGUGGGACAGAUGAUUGGGGUG